rnacentral:lncRNA from 1 species
AAACUAUUUACUAAAAUAAUACAUUACCUUUUUUUUUCUUUCUUCUUCUCUUCUUCUCCUUUCUCUCUUUUUUUUCUCUACCGUCCCCAUUGUAUGUUGGGACCAUUUACUUAUAGGCAAAAAAAAAAACAAACAUGAUGGGACAAGACCAUGCUGCUGGUGAAGCCGUGCGACGGUGGACAGAAGGCCACCAUUGGCGCCUACCUAAUAGGCGCCACCCGACCCGACCCCGUAUUUUGACCCGUAUUUUUUAAAAAAA